rnacentral:rRNA from 1 species
GACGAACGCUGGCGGCGUGCUUAACACAUGCAAGUCGAACGGAAAGGCCCUGCUUUUGUGGGGUGCUCGAGUGGCGAACGGGUGAGUAACACGUGAGUAACCUGCCCUUGACUUUGGGAUAACUUCAGGAAACUGGGGCUAAUACCGGAUAGGAGCUCCUGCUGCAUGGUGGGGGUUGGAAAGUUUCGGCGGUUGGGGAUGGACUCGCGGCUUAUCAGCUUGUUGGUGGGGUAGUGGCUUACCAAGGCUUUGACGGGUAGCCGGCCUGAGAGGGUGACCGGCCACAUUGGGACUAAGAGACGGCCCAGACUCCUACGGGAGGCAGCAGUGGGGAAUAUUGCACAAUGGGCGGAAGCCUGAUGCAGCAACGCCGCGUGCGGGAUGACGGCCUUCGGGUUGUAAACCGCUUUCGCCUGUGACGAAGCGUGAGUGACGGUAAUGGGUAAAGAAGCACCGGCUAACUACGUG